rnacentral:rRNA from 1 species
UACGGAGGGUGCAAGCGUUAUCCGGAUUCACUGGGUUUAAAGGGUGCGUAGGAGGGCAGGUAAGUCAGUGGUGAAAUCUCCAAGCUUAACUUGGAAACUGCCGUUGAUACUAUCUGUCUUGAAUAUUGUGGAGGUGAGCGGAAUAUGUCAUGUAGCGGUGAAAUGCUUAGAUAUGACAUAGAACACCAAUUGCGAAGGCAGCUCACUACACAAUUAUUGACUCUGAGGCACGAAAGCGUGGGGAUCAAACAGG